UACGUAGGGUGCGAGCGUUAAUCGGAAUUACUGGGCGUAAAGCGUGCGCAGGCGGUUUUGUAAGACAGGCGUGAAAUCCCCGGGCUCAACCUGGGAAUUGCGCUUGUGACUGCAAGGCUGGAGUGCGGCAGAGGGGGAUGGAAUUCCGCGUGUAGCAGUGAAAUGCGUAGAUAUGCGGAGGAACACCGAUGGCGAAGGGCCAAUCCCCUGGGCCUGCACUGACGCUCAUGCACGAAAGCGUGGGGAGCAAACAGG
rnacentral:rRNA from 1 species